AUGCUUUACACAUGCAAGUCGAACGGCAGCGGGGACUUCGGUCCGCCGGCGAGUGGCGAACGGGUGAGUAAUGCAUCGGAACGUGCCUAUCAGUGGGGGAUAACGCUUCGAAAGGAGUGCUAAUACCGCAUAUUCUCUGAGGAGGAAAGCAGGGGACCUUAGGGCCUUGCGCUGAUAGAGCGGCCGAUGUCGGAUUAGCUAGUUGGUGAGGUAAAGGCUCACCAAGGCGACGAUCCGUAGCGGGUCUGAGAGGAUGAUCCUCCACACUGGGACUGAGACACGGCCCAGACUCCUACGGGAGGCAGUAGUGGGGAAUUUUGGACAAUGGGCGAAAGCCUGAUCCAGCCAUGCCGCGUGAGUGAAGAAGGCCUUCGGGUUGUAAAGCUCUUUUGUCCGGGAGGAAAUCCUGGCCUCUAAUACAGGUCGGGGAUGACAGUACUGGAAGAAUAAGCACCGGCUAACUACGUGCCAGCAGCCGCGGUAAUACGUAGGGUGCAA
rnacentral:rRNA from 1 species